AUUGAACGCUGGCGGCAGGCUUAACACAUGCAAGUCGAGCGGGGGAAGGUAGCUUGCUACCGGACCUAGCGGCGGACGGGUGAGUAAUGCUUAGGAAUCUGCCUAUUAGUGGGGGACAACAUCUCGAAAGGGAUGCUAAUACCGCAUACGUCCUACGGGAGAAAGCAGGGGAUCUUCGGACCUUGCGCUAAUAGAUGAGCCUAAGUCGGAUUAGCUAGUUGGUGGGGUAAAGGCCUACCAAGGCGGCGAUCUGUAGAGGGUCGGGGAGGAUGGUCAGCCACACUGGGACUGAGGCACGGCCCAGACUCCUACGGGAGGCAGCAGUGGGGAAUAUUGGACAAUGGGGGGAACCCUGAUCCAGCCAUGCCGCGUGUGUGAAGAAGGCCUUAUGGUUGUAAAGCACUUUAAGCGAGGAGGAGGCUACUUUAGUUAAUACCUAGAGAUAGUGGACGUUGCUCGCAGAAUAAGCACCGGCUAACUCUGUGCCAGCCGCCGCGGUAA
rnacentral:rRNA from 1 species